rnacentral:rRNA from 1 species
GACGAACGCUGGCGGCAGGCUUAACACAUGCAAGUCGAACGCACCGCAAGGUGAGUGGCAGACGGGUGAGUAACACGUGGGGAUCUGCCCAAUGGUACGGAAUAGCUCCGGGAAACUGGAAUUAAUACCGUAUGAGCCCGCAAGGGGAAAGAUUUAUCGCCAUUGGAUGAACCCGCGUCGGAUUAGCUAGUUGGUGUGGUAAAGGCGCACCAAGGCGCCGAUCCGUAGCUGGUCUGAGAGGAUGAUCAGCCACACUGGGACUGAGACACGGCCCAGACUCCUACGGGAGGCAGCAGUGGGGAAGAUUGGACAAUGGGCGCAAGCCUGAUCCAGCCAUGCCGCGUGAGUGAUGAAGGCCUUAGGGUUGUAAAGCUCUUUCGCCGACGAAGAUAAUGACGGUAGUCGGAGAAGAAGCCCCGGCUAACUUCGUGCCAGCAGCCGCUGUAAUAC